CAUGGUUUCAGUCCCUUUGUAAAAAUCACCUCUUCUCCCUUCCUCUCUGGAAUAGACGUUGGGAGUGAAAACAUGCAGCCUGGAGGCCUCCGGAACCCCUCGUAGCCAACCUUAAUUCUGCCCCAUUUAGGACAGGACCCCAGCACCCCGGAAACAAGCCUGGUGGCAGUGAAGACGCUCUGUGGACGGGGUGCCUGCGGACGCCGGUGGUCGGACGGAGCGGGAGACGCUGCCACGUUUGCUGGGAAAGCGGAACAGCUCCAGGCCCUGGGAAGCCGCGAGGGCUCCGUGAUAACGUGUCUUCAGACAGUGCUGCUCCGCUUUGAUUCAGAGAGCGGCGCCGGCACGACGGGGAAGAAACGCCAGUGACCGCUCGGCCCUCGUUCUAGAAAGGGAGCCAGCAUCCGUGUCUCCCACCGGAAAAGGCAAAGGUCCAGCAGUUUCACUUUGGUCUUUCUGGGAGAUGGGUCUUCCGUUUCUUAGCGGUUUGACAUCAACUAUCAACAACACGAGGUCGCAGGCCUGACAGUCCGCGUCCAAGUCUGGCCAGUCUAGCCAAUAGCUCAGGUCUGUGGUGUCCCCGAAACCCCCCGGCGGGGAGGCCGUGACGGGCAGGAGGAGGUCCACGCCGGCGUCAGGGUUUGGCCCUAGUUCUGCACACAUCCAGCCUCCACGUGCUGCCUGCCGAACAGCCACGGACGUGCAGUGCGGGCCCCGCGUCCGAGCAGGGCUCUGAGCCCUCUGUUCCCCGCGGCAUCCCCGCCCACGGCCCCGCCGGGAGCACAGAGACGCGCACGCGCCGUGCACGCGCGCACGGGAGGGCCGCCGGGUCGGGACUCAGCAGGCGGCCCGGGACGCGCAGAAGACAACGCACCGCACUUUCUGCCGGAAGA